rnacentral:rRNA from 1 species
UACGAAGGGGGCUAGCGUUGCUCGGAAUGACUGGGCGUAAAGGGCGCGUAGGCGGCCUGGACAGUCGGAUGUGAAAUUCCUGGGCUCAACCUGGGGGCUGCAUCCGAGACGUUUGGGCUGGAGUGGGGAAGAGGGUCGUGGAAUUCCCAGUGUAGAGGUGAAAUUCGUAGAUAUUGGGAAGAACACCGGUGGCGAAGGCGGCGACCUGGUCCUUGACUGACGCUGAGGCGCGAAAGCGUGGGGGAGCAAACAGGAUUAGAUACCCCUGGUAGUCCACGCCGUAAACGAUGUGUGCUGGAUGUUGGGCGGCCUAGCCGUUCAGUGUCGAAGCUAACGCGGUAAGCACACCGCCUGGGGAGUACGGCCGCAAGGUUGAAACUC